rnacentral:rRNA from 1 species
GGGGACGUUUGACCUCUAGAGAAGAGCUUCCCCUUCGGGGGCAAAGUGACAGGUGGUGCAUGGUUGUCGUCAGCUCGUGUCGUGAGAUGUUGGGUUAAGUCCCGCAACGAGCGCAACCCUUAUUGUUAGUUGCCAUCAUUCAGUUGGGCACUCUAGCAAGACUGCCGGUGACAAACCGGAGGAAGGUGGGGAUGACGUCAAAUCAUCAUGCCCCUUAUGACCUGGGCUACACACGUGCUACAAUGGGAAGUACAACGAGUUGCGAAGUCGCGAGGCUAAGCUAAUCUCUUAAAGCUUCUCUCAGUUCGGAUUGCAGGCUGCAACUCGCCUGCAUGAAGCCGGAAUCGCUAGUAAUCGCGGAUCAGCACGCCGCGGUGAAUACGUUCCCGGGUCUUUUAACACACCGA